rnacentral:rRNA from 1 species
ACCCUUUGUGACAUACCUAUAACUGUUGCUUCGGCGGGUAGGGUCCCCGUGACCCUCCCGGCCUCCCGCCCCCGGGCGGGUCGGCGCCCGCCGGAGGAUAACCAAACUCUGAUUUAACGACGUUUCUUCUGAGUGGUACAAGCAAAUAAUCAAAACUUUUAACAACGGAUCUCUUGGUUCUGGCAUCGAUGAAGAACGCAGCGAAAUGCGAUAAGUAAUGUGAAUUGCAGAAUUCAGUGAAUCAUCGAAUCUUUGAACGCACAUUGCGCCCGCCAGCAUUCUGGCGGGCAUGCCUGUUCGAGCGUCAUUUCAACCCUCAAGCUCUGCUUGGUGUUGGGGCCCUACAGCUGAUGUAGGCCCUCAAAGGUAGUGGCGGACCCUCCCGGAGCCUCCUUUGCGUAGUAACUUUACGUCUCGCACUGGGAUCCGGAGGGACUCUUGCCGUAAAACCCCCCAAUUUUCCAAAGGUUGACCUCGGAUCAGGUAGGAAUACCCGCUGAACUUAAGCAUAUCAA